AUACGGAGGAUCCGAGCGUUAUCCGGAUUUAUUGGGUUUAAAGGGAGCGUAGAUGGAUGUUUAAGUCAGUUGUGAAAGUUUGCGGCUCAACCGUAAAAUUGCAGUUGAUACUGGAUAUCUUGAGUGCAGUUGAGGCAGGCGGAAUUUGGGGUGUAGCGGGGAAAUGCUUAGAUAUCACGAAGAACUCCGAUUGCGAAGGCAGCCUGCUAAGCUGCAACUGACAUUGAGGCUCGAAAGUGUGGGUAUCAAACAGGAUUAGAUACCCUGGUAGUCCACACGGUAAACGAUGAAUACUCGCUGUUUGCGAUAUACGGCAAGCGGCCAAGCGAAAGCGUUAAGUAUUCCACCUGGGGAGUACGCCGGCAACGGUGAAACUCAAAUGAAUUGACGGGG
rnacentral:rRNA from 1 species